GACGUAGGGGGCCAGCGUUGUUCGGAAUUACUGGGUGUAAAGGGUUCGUAGGCGGUGUGGCAAGUCGGGAGUGAAAUCUCUGGGCUCAACUCAGAGACUGCUUCCGAAACUGCUGUGCUGGAGUGUGGGAGAGGCGCGUGGAAUUGCAGGUGUAGCGGUGAAAUGCGUAGAUAUCUGCAGGAACACCCGUGGCGAAAGCGGCGCGCUGGACCACUACUGACGCUGAGGAACGAAAAGCUAGGGGGAGCAAAACAGG
rnacentral:rRNA from 1 species